AUUGAACGCUGGCGGCAGGCCUAACACAUGCAAGUCGAGCGAGCGGCGGACGGGUGAGUCAUGUCUGGGAAACUGCCUGAUGGGGGGAUAACUACUGGAAACGGUAGCUAAUACCGCACACCAUCAGAAGUGUCCAGAGGGGAUGAGCUAGUAGGUGGGGUAACGGCGCACCUAGGCGACGAUCCCUAGCUGGUCUGAGAGGAUGACCAGCCACACUGGAACUGAGACACGGUCCAGACUCCUACGGGAGGCAGCAGUGGGGAAUAUUGCACAAUGGGCGCAAGCCUGAUGCAGCCAUGCCGCGUGUGUGAAGAAGGCCUUCGGGUUGUAAAGCACUUUCAGCGGGGAGGCGUUACCCGCAGAAGAAGCACCGGCUAACUCCGUGCCAGCAGCCGCGGUAAUAC
rnacentral:rRNA from 1 species